rnacentral:tRNA from 1 species
AGCCUCGUAGCUCAAUUGGCUAGAGCGUUGGCUGUACUAAAGCCUUCACCUAGCUGGCGUGUGUUCGAAUCCCACCGAGGCCA